AUUGAACGCUGGCGGCAGGCCUAACACAUGCAAGUCGAGCGGAUGAAGGGAGCUUGCUCCUGGAUUCAGCGGCGGACGGGUGAGUAAUGCCUAUGAAUCUGCCUGGUCGUGGGGGAUAACGUCCGGAAACGGGCGCUAAUACCGCAUACGUCCUGAGGGAGAAAGUGGGUGAUCUUCGGACCUCACGCUAUCAGAUGAGCCUAGGUCGGAUUAGCUAGUUGGUGGGGUAAAUGCCUACCAAGGCGACGAUCCGUAACUGGUCUGAGAGGAUGAUCAGUCACACUGUAACUGAGACACGGCCCAGACUCCUACGGGAGGCAGCAGUGGGGAAUAUUGGACAAUGGGCGAGAGCCUGAUCCAGCCAUGCCGCGGGUGUGAAGAAGGUCUUCUGAUGAGAAAGCACUGUAAGUUGGGAGGAAGUGCAGUAAGUUAAUACCUUGCGGUUUUGACGUUACCAGCAGAAUAAGCACCGGCUAACUUCGUG
rnacentral:rRNA from 1 species